GCCAGUGUGUGGCCAUUACAGAGAGUUCCUGCUUAACCCUCAAAGUGAAGUGUCGUCUCAUUAUUGGGGGAAGGAUUUAUUGUAUGCUGUUCCAGUUUGACUGCUAGGAGAGUAAACCUAUUCGUAUGGUUCCUAUUCAGCUGUAUACAGCAUUCAUAUGCUUGAGAGCAUUCAUAUGCUCCUACGGUUCGGUGGUUUUGGUGUCUGCUGCAGUGCUUGGAGUCCUCAGGAAGUGCUAGGAGCAUCCUUCAACGGAGGUACCCAGUCGGGG